AAAAUAAAAUAGUUGGUAUAAUUCUAAAAAAAAAAAUUCUGAUUUGAAAGUAAGAAACUGUAAGACAAGCUCUUGAAAACAAUUUUACAUUUUUUAUCAUCAAAUUUUUUGCCCAAAGAAGCAAUACACAGUUUUUUUAAAAAAAAUGUAUGAAAAUUGCAUGUAGUGCAAAAGCUGUGUGGCUUUAAAAUUUUUGGCCUCAAAAUUUUUUCAAAUUCCAUUUUCCACAAACUUUUUGAAAUUCAUAAUAUACAUUGUGUCUAGAAUUACAUGACAGUUCUUACAUAUAAAUAAUAGUGCCUUGAUACUCUUGAAAAUCACUCAUCAAGCUCUUAACCUGUUUUAUUUCUUUUAACCAUUAAAUGAAAGGUAACAAUGAUUUCUGAUCCCCUGCUGCCUAGAAAUAUUUAUUGAAUGAGUUAAAAAUGUUUAUCAAGUAGUUUCAUGUUUUCUACUACAACCCAGGAGCUGUUUUCUGUUUUUUUUUUUUCAUAUUUAUGUUCUUAAAUAUAUCUGAAUCUGGAGUUUAGAAAAUCAUAUUUAACCUAUCUUCUGAGUGUUAAGGAAGAAACCUAUCUUAGAUUCAAUAGGCAAGACCUCAUAUAAGAUAAAUCUAGAUGUGAAGAAAGACCAUUUGAUCUGUAAAGCAAAAUGAAAGCUUUAAUUGUUUGUGAUCCUUAUAUUAGAGAAAGAUUGAAAUAUUUAAGAAACAAUGUAAUUUUCUCUGUUUAAUUGUAUGGGUAGCAUAUAUCCAUCUUUGUAAUUUUGAAGCUUGUAAGGAAACAACAGUAAAAUAAGUUAUAUCCUUUUAAUGGUAAUCUUACGAAUGUAAACUCAGUUUUCCUUUUAAGUUAAUGCCAAAUUCUGGUAUUGAGAAUCUUCAAACUGUUAGUUGAAGUAUGAGAUGAGUUUGGAAUGGAGAAGACAUCAGGUGAGCAUGCAGAAUACAGACCAGGUUAAGUCAUUCAGUAGUUCACUUUGGAUUUUAUAAUUCAAAUAUAAAUCUCUUAAGCAUAGGUAUGUAUGUGAUAGUAGAUUAGAAAGCUUAGCCAAAGACUAACUUCCAUAUUUAACAUUAAAGAUUUUCUUCAGUAAAUGAUCUAUCCUUUUGUUAUAACCACUAUGUUUCCUUAAUGGUAGAUACACAGGUUAAGAAUACUUGGAUUUGACAAAGUUAGAGUUUUAUAAACCAUGAUUACUAAUUGACAGUCUGAAUGAUACUGUGGUUUUUUUUUUUUUCCUUUGCAGGUGGAUAUUACUGUCUCUUCCUGAUGGAAAAUUCUUAAUUCUAAAUUUUAUUUCUCAUUUGAGUGUUAUAAAAAGGGAGAAAAGUGUUCCCUUAAUUUUUUAAGUUAUAUUUGGUUCUAGUAAGUAUUUAAAUAUAUCACUUGCACAAUAUCUAAGAGAAGAAAUGAGACCGUUGUUAGUACAUUCCCAUACACUAAAAUUUUCUGUUCUUUAUCAAAGUAAAACUUGUGUUUGUUGCCAUUAGUUUGAGCCUUUUUAAUGAAGGAACUAAAUCCUCCAUCAAAAAUGUCAUGGUUUAUGUUCUUGAUUAUAAAAUAGAUACCAGGUACUUCUGGUUUUUUUUUCUUUUUCAAGGAUAUAUGAAACAAAUAUGUUGGCAGAAUAAAGGCUUAAGCUUUUUACAUUAAAAGUACUAUAUAAGGUAUUCUGUGGUGGUCCAUGUUCAUUACCAAGAAAACACGCAUUUAGAACAUGUUUAAGGAACACUGAGAUGUGUGCAUAUGUUCUUGCUCUUAUUUGUCGUCCGCACAUGUAGAUGUGAAUCAGAGCUCUUCCUUGAGGUAACUGCCGCAGCCCAAGCAUCCAGAUAAGUCUACACAACUUAUGGUCCUAUUUGAGUGCACUCAUUGCUAAUCACAGAAAAUAAGAGUAUUCAGAUUGUCUGAAGACCUUCGAGAAUAAGGCAUCAUUGAGCCAGCAGUCAAGAUGCUUACAACUCAUAUCAGAAUAUCAGUUCCAUUACCAGGCUCACCUCUGACUCCAGCUUCCUACUAUUACAGACCCUUUGGGAGACAGAAGU